rnacentral:rRNA from 1 species
CAGUAGCCACGGGAACACAGAGGGUGCGAGCGUUAAUCGGAUUUACUGGGCGUAAAGCGUGCGUAGGCGGCUUUUUAAGUCGGAUGUGAAAUCCCUGAGCUUAACUUAGGAAUUGCAUUCGAUACUGGGAAGCUAGAGUAUGGGAGAGGAUGGUAGAAUUCCAGGUGUAGCGGUGAAAUGCGUAGAGAUCUGGAGGAAUACCGAUGGCGAAGGCAGCCAUCUGGCCUAAUACUGACGCUGAGGUACGAAAGCAUGGGGAGCAAACAGGAUUAGAUACCCCCGUAGUCCCUGUCUCUUAUAC